rnacentral:rRNA from 1 species
UACGGGGGGGGCAAGCGUUGUUCGGAAUUACUGGGCGUAAAGGGCUCGUAGGUGGCCAAUUAAGUCAGAUGUGAAAUCCCUCGGCUUAACCGGGGAACUGCGUCUGAUACUGGAUGGCUUGAGUUUGGGAGAGGGACGCGGAAUUCCAGGUGUAGCGGUGAAAUGCGUAGAUAUCUGGAGGAACACCGGUGGCGAAGGCGGCGUCCUGGACCAACACUGACACUGAGGAGCGAAAGCCAGGGGAGCAAACGGG